UUGGAGGGCAAGUCUGGUGCCAGCAGCCGCGGUAAUUCCAGCUCCAAUAGCGUAUAUUAAAGUUGUUGCAGUUAAAAAGCUCGUAGUUGAAUUUCGGGGUUAGUAGGUUGGUCAUGCCUCUGGUAUGUACUGGUCUCACUGAUUCCUCCUUCCUGAUGAGCCGUAAUGCCAUUAAUUUGGUGUUGCGGGGAAUUUGGACUGUUACUUUGAAAAAAUUAGAGUGUUUAAAGCAAGCUAACGCUUGAAUACAUUAGCAUGGAAUAAUGAAAUAGGACGUUCGAUCCUAUUUUGUUGGUUUCUAGGAUUGACGUAAUGAUUAAUAGGGAUAGUUGGGGGCAUUAGUAUUCAAUUGUCAGAGUGAAAUUCUUGGAUUAUGGAAGACUAACUACUGCGAAAGCAUUGCCAAGGAUGUUUCAUUAAUCAAGGACGAAAGUUAGGGAUCGAGACGAUCAGAUACGGUCGUAGUCUAACAUAAACUAUGCGACUAGGGAUCGGAUGAUGUAAUUUUUAAUGACUCAUUCGGCGCCUUACGGGAAAC
rnacentral:rRNA from 1 species